AAGCUUUGGAAGGCACAGAGCCAACUGUUCUUUCGCCUUUUACCAAAGAAUACCGUGUGCACGCCGCUGCUAAGCAGCACACGCCACUUUCGGAAGGCUCUUGCCUCUACUGGCCU
rfam:Eucalyptus grandis cultivar BRASTZ1 unplaced genomic scaffold scaffold_8, whole genome shotgun sequence.